rnacentral:rRNA from 1 species
GACGAACGCUGGCGGCGUGCUUAACACAUGCAAGUCGAACGGAAAGGCCCUGCUUGCAGGGUGCUCGAGUGGCGAACGGGUGAGUAACACGUGGGUGAUCUGCCCCUUACUUUGGGAUAAGCCUGGGAAACUGGGUCUAAUACUGGAUAGGACCAUGCUGUAGGUGGUGUGGUGGAAAGAUUAGUUUCGGUAAGGGAUGAGCUCGCGGCCUAUCAGCUUGUUGGUGGGGUAAUGGCCUACCAAGGCGUCGACGGGUAGCCGGCCUGAGAGGGUGGACGGCCACAUUGGGACUGAGAUACGGCCCAGACUCCUACGGGAGGCAGCAGAGGGGAAUAUUGCACAAUGGGCGCAAGCCUGAUGCAGCGACGCCGCGCGGGGGAUGACGGCCUUCGGGUUGUAAACUCCUUUCAGCCAUGACGAAGCCCUUGUGGUGACGGUAGUGGUAGAAGAAGCACCGGCUAACUACGUG